rnacentral:tRNA from 1 species
GUCUAUGUAGUAUAUUUAAUUACACUGGUCUUGUAAACCAGAAAAGGAGAAU